rnacentral:rRNA from 1 species
UACGUAGGAGACGAGCGUUGUCCGGAGUUACUGGGCGUAAAGGGUGCGCAGGCGCCCUGCGCGUCGCGAGUGAAAUCUCCCGGCUCAACUGGGAGGGUGGUCGCGAGACGGCAGGGCUUGAGGCUCGGUGAGGGGCGUGGAAUUCCGGGUGGAGCGGUGAAAUGCGUAGAUAUCAUUUGGAACGCCAAUGGUGAAAACAGGUAGCUGGGGAUGUGCUGACGCUGAGACACGAAAGCCAGGGGAGCGAACGGG